rnacentral:rRNA from 1 species
UACAGAGGGGGCAAGCGUUGUUCGGAAUUACUGGGCGUAAAGGGCGCGUAGGCGGCCUGUUAAGUCGAACGUGAAAUCCCCGGGCUCAACCCGGGAACUGCGUCCGAUACUGGCAGGCUUGAAUCCGGGAGAGGGAUGCAGAAUUCCAGGUGUAGCGGUGAAAUGCGUAGAUAUCUGGAGGAAUACCGGUGGCGAAGGCGGCAUCCUGGACCGGCAUUGACGCUGAUGAGCGAAAGCGUGGGGAGCGAACAGG